rnacentral:sRNA from 1 species
AACCCCUGUGACAUACCUAUACGUUGCCUCGGCGGAUCAGCCCGCGCCCUGUAAAAAGGGACGGCCCGCCCGAGGACCCUAAACUCUGUUUUUAGUGGAACUUCUGAGUAAAACAAACAAAUAAAUCAAAACUUUCAACAACGGAUCUCUUGGUUCUGGCAUCGAUGAAGAACGCAGCAAAAUGCGAUAAGUAAUGUGAAUUGCAGAAUUCAGUGAAUCAUCGAAUCUUUGAACGCACAUUGCGCCCGCCAGUAUUCUGGCGGGCAUGCCUGUUCGAGCGUCAUUUCAACCCUCAAGCUCAGCUUGGUGUUGGGACUCGCGGUAACCCGCGUUCCCCAAAUCGAUUGGCGGUCACGUCGAGCUUCCAUAGCGUAGUAAUCAUACACCUCGUUACUGGUAAUCGUCGCGGCCACGCCGUAAAACCCCAACUUCUGAAUGUUGACCUCGGAUCAGGUAGGAAUACCCGCUGAACUUAAGCAUAUCAAUAAGCGGAGGAA